AGCUACGGCCAUGUGGCACGUUGGAUACACCCGAUCCCUCGAUCUCUGAAGUUAAGCAACACGCAGUCCAGUCAGUUCUUGGAUGGGAAUCCCACCUACCAAGGACGACUGGAUGCUGUACCCU
rnacentral:rRNA from 1 species